UGAGACCCCAGGAAGAGCUGCACAGGGUCCUUGGCCGUGGAGCAGCCUCUACAACUGUAAGCUCAGGCUCCGCAGGGUGUGUCCUCGGCGUGUGCAGGGUUGCUGUCACAGGGGUGCCACGCCGGGCCCCUAAAGCACCAGCCCCCUUGCCUGGGUUCUUCCUUUAUGUUUUCAUUAGGUAAGAUCUACAUAAUAGAAAAUUCACCAUUUUGACAUGAACCAUUCAAUGGCAUUUACUACCUUCAAAAUGUUGUACGGCCACCACUUCUACAGCCUAUCAGCCGCCACUCCCACUGCCCUGGCCCAGACCCUGACAACACGAAUCUGCUUUCUGUCUCCAUGGAUUUGCCGGUUCUGGAUCUCUCAUUGGAGCGCAUUCACACAGCAUGCAGCCCUUUGUGUCUGGUUCUUUUACUUGGUGCGGCAUUUCCGAGGCUCGCCCAUGCUGUGGCACAGGCCAGUGCAAC
rnacentral:lncRNA from 1 species